CUUAUUUUAUGGCUGGUUAUAAAGCCUACACAAGAGUGGCAAAACCCACACUUAUUCCAAUAUUCUUUUUCCCCUGCUAAGAAGUUUACUUUCAUUUGAAAGUUUGUUUCUUAAAUAAUUUGUUAUUAGUUAUUUAGGCAUGUUUUCAUCAUUUUAAAUACAGUAACUUUUAGAAAAUAGACUUUGACACUGUCAAGAAGCAAUAUGACCAUCCUAAUCAUCUAAGUCAGAUAGGCCUAUCACGUGUUUACCAUUAUCAGUCAAAAAGAGGGUGUCUUGUCCUGCUUCUGUAAUCUGCUCGUCCAUUCAAUCCAGUCAUCAGCAACAGAGCAUUGGGGGCAGGGGGGAAACCCGCCCUGCCUCUACCAUGGAAGAAACACUGCUGAUGAGAUUCGUUGAGCAGUACUCCCUGUGACUGGACCGAAAUACUACACAACGAAAGCCAAGGAAGCAGGAGAUAAGCAGAAUGAAGAAAUUAAAAACGGGACCAAAGGUCCACAGCCCAAUCAAGCUAAUCUGGGAGCAAACAGAGCAGAAGCAGCCGCAAGUCCUCAAUAGAGGAUAAGCCAAACUGAUCAAAUCAAAAUAAGUCCCAGAGAGGACCACAGCUACAACAAUCACUUUUAACCCUCAGAUAUAGGAGUCAAAUAGAUUUUUCAAAUACUUGUGCUACUUCAUUUAGUUUGUCCAGUAAAUUGUAAAGUACUGGAAUGGUUACAACAAAUCUCCAAUUGCACAUUUCAAUCGCCCCUCAAAGUAUUAGAAAAUAUUUGAGAUGUAUUUGACCAAGGUCUGAUAAUCACUGCUUCAUUCUUGUGCUUUAACAUCCAUUUAAGACGUGGUAAAAAUCCUGAGCGGGCACAAAAUACGUGAGAAUACCUGGGGGGUGGUCUGGAAGGGGGCUCUGUCAGGAAGUUAGCAUUUUUCAAACACCUGAAACGGCUUUUUCCUGAGAAAUGGCUUUUUCCUAAUCAUUAUGCUUAAGUCGGUUAAAAAAAUAAAAAAUCUGCAUGUCUAACUGUACCUUUUGAGCUGUCUGUGUCCUCCUGAUUGGUGGUUAUUUUGUUAAAGAAACUAAACAUGCUACUCUGCAUCGCUG
rnacentral:lncRNA from 1 species